AAGUCGAGCGGUAACAUUUCUAGCUUGCUAGAAGAUGACGAGCGGCGGACGGGUGAGUAAUGCUUGGGAAUAUGCCUUAUGGUGGGGGACAACAGUUGGAAACGACUGCUAAUACCGCAUAAUGUCUACGGACCAAAGGGGGGGAUCUUCGGACCUCUCGCCAUUUGAUUAGCCCAAGUGAGAUUAGCUAGUUGGUGAGGUAAUGGCUCACCAAGGCGACGAUCUCUAGCUGGUUUGAGAGGAUGAUCAGCCACACUGGGACUGAGACACGGCCCAGACUCCUACGGGAGGCAGCAGUGGGGAAUAUUGCACAAUGGGCGCAAGCCUGAUGCAGCCAUGCCGCGUGUGUGAAGAAGGCCUUCGGGUUGUAAAGCACUUUCAGUAAGGAGGAAAGGGAUGUAGUUAAUAACUGCAUUCUGUGACGUUACUUACAGAAGAAGCACCGGCUAACUUCGUGCCAGCAGCCGCGGUAAUACGAGGGGUGCAAGCGUUAAUCGGAAUUACUGGGCGUAAAGCGUUCGUAGGCGGUUGAUUAAGCAAGAUGUGAAAGCCCAGGGCUCAACCUUGGAACUGCAUUUUGAACUGGUCAACUAGAGUACUGUAGAGGGUGGUGGAAUU
rnacentral:rRNA from 1 species